rnacentral:rRNA from 2 species
UGGGGAAUAUUGCGCAAUGGGGGAAACCCUGACGCAGCAACGCCGCGUGAUCGAAGAAGGCCUUCGGGUUGUAAAGAUCUUUAAUUAGGGACGAUAAUGACGGUACCUAAAGAAUAAGCUCCGGCUAACUACGUGCCAGCAGCCGCGGUAAUACGUAGGGAGCGAGCGUUAUCCGGAUUUACUGGGUGUAAAGGGCGAGUAGGCGGGCCGGUAAGUUGGGAGUGAAAUCUGGGGGCUCAACCCCCAAACUGCUUUCAAAACUAUUGGUCUUGAGUGAUGGAGAGGCAGGCGGAAUUCCGUGUGUAGCGGUGAAAUGCGUAGAUAUACGGAGGAACACCAGUGGCGAAGGCGGCCUGCUGGACAUUAACUGACGCUGAGGAGCGAAAGCGUGGGGAGCAAACAGG